UGCCAGCCGCCGCGGUAAUACGGAGGGGGUUAGCGUUGUUCGGAAUUACUGGGCGUAAAGCGCGCGUAGGCGGAUUGGAAAGUUGGGGGUGAAAUCCCGGGGCUCAACCCCGGGACUGCCUCCAAAACUGCCAGUCUAGAGUAAUGGAGAGGUAAGUGGAAUUCCUGGUGUAGCAGUGAAAUGCGUGGAUAUCAGGAGGAACAUCAAUGGCGAAGGCAACUUACUGGACAUUUACUGACGCUCAGACACGAAGGCUAGGGUAGCGAAAGGGAUUAGAUA
rnacentral:rRNA from 1 species